rnacentral:lncRNA from 1 species
GGAGAGGUUGCAAAUUUAGAAUCAAGUUCAAGUUCUCCUAGCAACAUGCACACCCCCGCUGCUGGCUGGUGUAAUCCAAGCACCAAACACGUGCAGCUGGGGCAGUGCGUGUUGCUAGGAGAACAAUGACUCUCUUGCUUCCAGAGCUGGUGAUUUGAUGAUGAGACAUCGUCUGCUACAGGAUUUGCAGGGAAACAUGGAGUAUCACUUUGGGCCUAUUUUCUAAGAGAAUGGCCUGAAGAGAAUAGAUUCAAGUUUUCUCCCAGAAAAGCCUCUGCUUCAGGAGCAGGUAGC